rnacentral:rRNA from 1 species
GACGAACGCUGGCGGCGUGCUUAACACAUGCAAGUCGAACGGAAAGGCCCUGCUUUUGUGGGGUGCUCGAGUGGCGAACGGGUGAGUAACACGUGAGUAACCUGCCCUUGACUUUGGGAUAACUUCAGGAAACUGGGGCUAAUACCGGAUAGGAGCUCCUGCUGCAUGGUGGGGGUUGGAAAGUUUCGGCGGUUGGGGAUGGACUCGCGGCUUAUCCGCUUGUUGGUGGGGUAGUGGCUUACCAAGGCUUUGACGGGUAGCCGGCCUGAGAGGGUGACCGGCCACAUUGGGACUGAGAUACGGCCCAGUCUCCUACGGGAGGCAGCAGUGGGGAAUAUGGCACAAUGGGCGGAAGCCUGAUGCAGCAACGCCGCGUGCGGGAUGACGGCCUUCGGGUUGUAAACCGCUUUCGCCUGUGACGAAGCGUGAGUGACGGUAAUGGGUAAAGAAGCACCGGCUAACUACGUG